rnacentral:rRNA from 1 species
AGAGUUUGAUCCUGGCUCAGGAUGAACGCUAGCGGCAGGCUUAACACAUGCAAGUCGAGGGGCAGCAUAAUGGAUAGCAAUAUCUAUGGUGGCGACCGGCGCACGGGUGCGUAACGCGUAUGCAACCUACCUUUAACAGGGGGAUAACACUGAGAAAUUGGUACUAAUACCCCAUAAUAUCAUAGAAGGCAUCUUUUAUGGUUGAAAAUUCCGAUGGUUAGAGAUGGGCAUGCGUUGUAUUAGCUAGUUGGUGGGGUAACGGCUCACCAAGGCGACGAUACAUAGGGGGACUGAGAGGUUAACCCCCCACACUGGUACUGAGACACGGACCAGACUCCUACGGGAGGCAGCAGUGAGGAAUAUUGGUCAAUGGACGCAAGUCUGAACCAGCCAUGCCGCGUGCAGGAUGACGGCUCUAUGAGUUGUAAACUGCUUUUGUACGAGGGUAAACGCAGAUACGUGUAUCUGUCUGAAAGUAUCGUACGAAUAAGGAUCGGCUAACUCCGUGCCAGCAGCCGCGGUAAUACGGAGGAUUCAAGCGUUAUCCGGAUUUAUUGGGUUUAAAGGGUGCGUAGGCGGUUUGAUAAGUUAGAGGUGAAAUUUCGGGGCUCAACCCUGAACGUGCCUCUAAUACUGUUGAGCUAGAGAGUAGUUGCGGUAGGCGGAAUGUAUGGUGUAGCGGUGAAAUGCUUAGAGAUCAUACAGAACACCGAUUGCGAAGGCAGCUUACCAAACUAUAUCUGACGUUGAGGCACGAAAGCGUGGGGAGCAAACAGGAUUAGAUACCCUGGUAGUCCACGCAGUAAACGAUGAUAACUCGUUGUCGGCGAUACACAGUCGGUGACUAAGCGAAAGCGAUAAGUUAUCCACCUGGGGAGUACGUUCGCAAGAAUGAAACUCAAAGGAAUUGACGGGGGCCCGCACAAGCGGAGGAACAUGUGGUUUAAUUCGAUGAUACGCGAGGAACCUUACCCGGGCUUGAAUUGCAGAGGAAGGAUUUGGAGACAAUGACGCCCUUCGGGGCCU